rnacentral:rRNA from 1 species
UACGGGGGGGGCAAGCGUUGUUCGGAAUUACUGGGCGUAAAGGGCGCGUAGGCGGCCAGCACAAGUCAGUUGUGAAAUCUCCGGGCUUAACUCGGAAAGGUCAACUGAUACUGUGCGGCUAGAGUGCAGAAGGGGCAACUGGAAUUCUCGGUGUAGCGGUGAAAUGCGUAGAUAUCGAGAGGAACACCUGCGGCGAAGGCGGGUUGCUGGGCUGAUACUGACGCUGAGGCGCGAAAGCCAGGGGAGCGAACGGG